CCAUCUUGUUUGUCAUAUCAGCAUAAAGCAAGCUGUUACAGUAAGUAUUUAAGAUCAUCGGCAUGUGUACCAUGUUAUCCUUCAUUAACCCUGGCAAGUCAUUGAUGUAUAAAUUAAAUAAUAAUGGGGCCAGGAUACACCCUUGCCUUAUCCCUUUAUUUGUGCAAAUCCUAUUAGUCAGGGCCCCGUAGCCCCAUACUACACCCUCAAAUAGGUACUUGUGUAAAGGGCUUUAAUCAAAGCCAGGAGUCUGGGUUCUAUUUUAAGAGAUGUCAAUUUACUCCAUAGUACGUCUCUAUUUACCAUAUCAAAUGCUGCUGUGAAGUCUAUGAAAGCAGCAAAAGGGUCUUGUCUUAUAGGCAUAUUUGGCAAUUAGAUGAUUCAAGACAAAGCAGUUAUCAAUAGUAGAUCUGCCUUGUCUAAAACCUGCUUGUUCUUCUGUGAGGAUGUUGUUUUCCCCUACCCAGAUUUCAAUUCUGUUCAAAAGGUACCUAGCAUAUAUUUUUGCUACAAUGUCAAUCAGGCUGAUGGGCCUAUAAUUACUAGGAUCCUUUUUAUUCCCUUUUUUAUAUAUGGGGACAACUAUUGCCAUCUUCUACCCAUCUGGUAUAUGGCAGGUGUUAUUUAUGUGUGUAAAAAGGCCU